AUGUUUAUCUUUACACCGACAACUUCAUGUUUGCCCGACACGCUGAAAAGCAAAAGCUCUUCAGCUUCUUGUUGCAGUGAUGCGACAACGGGGAAGAAAUCUCUGGUUGCUCAUAUGUGCGGCGACGAAAGGGUCCGCUCGAGCUUCUCCUCUGUAGUGCACUUGAAUGGAGACAACCUUUUGAGAAUACUUGACCAUGGAAGGACCAUGGAAGGGAUGAUCUUGAUAGUUAUUGAGUUUGCUUCUGAUGUAAGUGACGAUGACUGGAAAAGGUUUCACUCAUUUGUCAUAACAAUGGGCAGAGGAAGGAAGAUCAUCAUCAUAAGUAAACUUGAAAGAUUAGCCCGGUUUGGAUCAGUGAAACCAAUUUUCCUGAGCCUUUUGACUGACGAUGAGUUGAGGUACCUUUUCAAGAAGCUGGCAUUCGGAAGUGUAGACCCUGCAGAACAUCCACGGCUAGUACAAAUAGCAGAUGAAUUCGCCAAGGUGUUGCAGAAUAUGGAAGGUUCAAUUGUCGCAACAAAUUUGUACGCAGAUGUGUUGAGAAAGAAUCUCAAUGUUCAGUUUUGGCGUUGCAUAUUGGACAAGGGGAGAAGAUAUGCUAACAGAAACCACAAGGCCGUACAGCAAGGGCAUCCACCGGACAUAACAGACUUUGCUUUGUGUCCACUUAGCAUGACACAUCAUAUAACUGAUGUUUCAAUCAAGGAGGAAUCACCAAGUGUGACAUUGGGGAAAAUUCUGGCAGAUCCUAGUGUUAGACCGAAAGGAGACUUCACUCUAAUUACAUGGGAAUCAAGGAUACCCCCUCAUAAAUCAUUUGCUCAUUUUGUAACGAGUCGUGCUGAUGAUACACAUCAAGGCAGGGCCUUGCCAGGGAGGAAGCGACGAGGAGUGCCAAUUUAA
rnacentral:rRNA from 1 species